rnacentral:misc_RNA from 1 species
AACGCACAUUGCGCCCCCCGGCACUCCGGGGGGCAUGCCUGUCUGAGCGUCCGCGCCCCCCUCGAGCGCGACCUGCCUCGGUCUUGGGCCGCGCCGCGGCGGCGGGUCCCAAUCACAGCGGCGGGUCCUGGCGGCCCCGGGCGAAGCAGCACCUCGCAGCCCGGGCGUUGCCCGCGACCGGCCGAAACCCCUCCGAUAGUCGACCUCAGAUCAGGCAGGGAUACCCGCUGAACUUAA